CCGCCCAAUGCGCCGCCCACACCUGCUUCAGUGGUGCCUCCGGCAGAGGCGAAGCCGCUGACCAGGCCAAGGGACAACAAGAGAAUCGAGGAAAACUUCAUAGAGGAACCUCAAAGGGAUGACGGCGCGAUCCUGAGGCUGUGUCUGGAGGCUUACAAUCAAAAUCCGACGAAUAGCACGAGUUGUACACAAUCUCGUAAGUUAUUGUUUUAGCUCGGGAACUUAAGUCGUUUUGACGGGUCUUUAGCUACUUCGGACAGGCCGCUUUUGCACAAAGGCGGCUUUUUUUUGCGCGCUGGAAAAGCCGGGCGAGAGCCCCGGCCCCAUCGUGAUGGGGCCGGGGCAGCCAUCGAUUUACGCCGACUUGGCCAGGAUCAACCCGCUGUCACUGGCGGCUUCCAGGCGAAUCGCCACGAA
rnacentral:sRNA from 1 species